UGCCCUAUCCUUCUGCUGUCAGCAUCUUUUCUCUCUCUAGUGGACCAUUCCUUUUAACUCCCCACUUUCAUCUAAUUUCUCCUCCAGCUCUUCAAAAGGUUGCCUGUGCUCAUCAUCUCUGAAUUACCUCCUUCAUUUCUCUUCCAAAUGUCUUGCAAUAUGGCAUUCACCAGCACCACUGCCAAAGCCACUGAAGUCCUCCUUACUGUUACAUCCACAGGUCAUGUCUUCAUCUUGCCCUUAAGUAAUCAUUGGAUAUCAGCUGUUGGUUCCCUCAACUUGGAAGUCUUUCAUUUAGUGUUUUCCAGGAUACCAUACUACUGAUUUUCUUCUCCCUCACUCAUUUCUUCUUUCCCAUAUACAUUGUCUGUAUAGUUUGCUAUGUCCUCGUCUCUUCAGAUACUUGACGUUGGAAAGCCUGAAGCUCUUCAUAAAACACCAGACUCUUAGAGCCAAUUACGCAGUUGACACCUCCACUUGAAUAUCUAAUUUGGCAUCUCAGCUACACCAUUACCAGAUUUAUCUCUUCCAAAUCUGUACCUCAACUUCCAUUUUUUCCUCUUCUCAGUUGGUAGCAACUCCAUUUUUUUUCCUGGUGAUAUGGCCAAAGUCUUGUAAUCAAUUUAUUCUUUCUUUUAUACUCCAUGCAGAAUCCAUUAGCAAAUCCUCUACCUUCAAAGCAUGUCCAGAAUUUGGCCAUUUCUCCCAUCAUACCUAUGACCCUGUUGUAAUCCACAAUAUCUGACUGAAGUCUUUUAAUAAUUCCUCAACUCUUCCUACUUUUGGCCUUGCUGUGUGCCUCAAUUCCAGUCUAUUCUGUCUAUCACAAUCUUGGGAACCAUUUAAUAUCCCCCCAAAAUGCUACUACUCUCUUUCAGACUUCCAGUGUUUACCCAUCUUAUCCCCAUAAUGCAUGGAGUCUUUGCAGAGACCUUGCUGACACCAGACUGGCCACCUGCCACCUCUUAUUGUACCUCCCCUCCUGAGAUGGUCCCCACUCACUGUCCUGCAGCCACAUGGCCUCCAUCCCAUUUCUUGAACAAGGCAUGCAUCGGCUCAUUCCAAAACUCUUCUUCUUGGGAUGACCUCCCCCAGUUAGAGAUUUUUCCUUCCCAAACCCUGUCUAUUUUCUUCAAUGUCACCCUCCCAGGAAGGUCUUCAUUAAGACCAUUUUAAAAUUUGCAAAACUUACUCAUGAGAAUUCCUAGUGUUUUUCUCUGCUUUAUUUUUUUCUCCCCAGUAUCUAUUAAAUUGCUAAUUACCAGUGUUCUAUUCCUCCUCCCACCCCAUCAAAAUGUACUAUGGAGGUGGAGAUUUUAGUCUUUUUUAUUCAUAUUUCCAGAAACUAAGAUCACCUUCAUCUUCUGAUGGACAUGAACAUACCUUCUUUUUUUUUUGGCAUCUGCUGGAGGCUUCCUACACCCAGGUUCAGUGGACUCAACUUGAUUUAUGUACAUCCCAUCUCUUAUUUAUAAUAAUGUUUCAGAAUUUAUAUUUUCUUAAUUUUUUGAAAACCUGAAUGGAUUUUUUUUUUUUUUGGGUAUCUGUGUGCAUCUUCCCAAGAGCAAGGCUCUUCCUAUUUAUCACAAGUAUUACCUUUUAUUUCCCGCACAUCCAGGAUAUUUCUGUUUAUUCUCACCAUCUCCCAACUUUCCUGGAAGAGGAGUGGUCCAUUCAGCUCUUUUCUUGUGCCCAAAUGGAGAGGCAAGGGGUCUCAUUAUUCUCUUGGCUGUUUAAUCCAUCCUUUUCUAUAUGAAGUUUGAAUCUUCUGGUGUGUGAGGCUCCUGCUCAAAUACCUGCUGUUUUUCAUUUCCUUCUGUGAGAGCUGAGGCAAGGAGAAAGUUUAUUCCCUCAUGUAUAAGAAGCAGAAAUGUGUGGCUACCUAGACAAGAAAAAAGGAAGAAUCAAUCCAACUUGCAAAAUCUUCCAUUUUAUUGGAGAACACAAAAUUUGAAUCAGUGUGUUCAGUCAAGGAUGAACUAAUAAUUCAGUCCCUGAAUCAGAAAUUGCACCACAAUUUAAAGCAUAAACUA